UUGCGUAGGUGGCUUGUAAAGUGAAUAGUGAAACCUGGUGGCUCAACCAUACAGACUAUUAUUCAAACUCACAAGCUCGAGAGUAGCAGAGGUAACNUGGAAUUUCUUGUGUAGGAGUGAAAUCCGUAGAUAUAAGAGGGAACACCAAUGGCGUAGGCAGGUUACUGGGCUAUUUCUGACACUGAGGCACGAAAGCGUGGGGAGCGAACCGGAUUAGAUACCCGGGUAGUCCACGCCGUAAACGAUGGAUACUAGCUGUUGGAGGUAUCGACCCCUUCAGUAGCGAAGCUAACGCGUUAAGUAUCCCGCCUGUGGAGUACGGUCGCAAGACUAAAACAUAAAGGAAUUGACGGGGACCCGCACAAGCGGUGGAUCGUGUUCUUUAAUUCGAUGAUAAACGAAGAACCUUACCAGGGUUUGACAUCCUUGGAAUUUCUGUGAAAGCAGAGAGUGCUUUAUUGAGCCAAGUGACAGGUGAUGCAUGGCCGUCGUCAGCUCGUGUCGUGAGAUGUUUGGUUAAGUCCAUCAACGAGCGCAACCCUUGUGAAUAGUUGUAUUUUUCUAUUCAGACUGCCCCGGUAACGGGGAGGAAGGAGGGGAUGAUGUCAGGUCAGUAUUUCCCUUACACCCUGGGCUAGAAACACGAUACAAUGGUUAGUACAAUGCGCAGCGAAGCCGCGAGGUGGAGCAAAUCG
rnacentral:rRNA from 1 species